rnacentral:rRNA from 1 species
CCUACGGGAGGCAGCAGUGAGGAAUAUUGGUCAAUGGGCGGGAGCCUGAACCAGCCAAGUCGCGUGAGGGAAGACGGUCCUAUGGAUUGUAAACCUCUUUAGGCGGGGAGCAAUGCCGGGCACGUGUGCCCGGAGGGAUAGUACCCGCAGAAUAAGCAUCGGCUAACUCCGUGCCAGCAGCCGCGGUAAUACGGGGGAUGCGAGCGUUAUCCGGAUUGAUUGGGUUUAAAGGGUGCGUAGGCGGAUUUUUAAGUCAGCGGUAAAAUGUCCGGGCUCAACCCGGGCCGGCCGUUGAAACUGGGGAUCUUGAGUGGGCGAGAAGUAUGCGGAAUGCGUGGUGUAGCGGUGAAAUGCAUAGAUAUCACGCAGAACUCCGAUUGCGAAGGCAGCAUACCGGCGCCCGACUGACGCUGAGGCACGAAAGCGUGGGGAUCGAACAGGAUUAGAUACCCGAGUAGUC